AACAGGAGGGAGUUAGUGCCUGCCCCCAGCCGUGACACCCGGGGCUUGGAUGGAAGCUGAGGGGUUUGUCUCCCAGCCACGUAUAUAUGCUGUCAAGCUAUGCUUCUUCCUUGCAGAGCGAACUAAAUGUGGAACUUGUUAAUUUAACAACAUCAUGGGUUUUCUACCCAAAAUGUCCUAGAAAUCCGAAGCCUAAAUAAACUCCUUCCCCCCAUGCUUCCUCCUUUAGUUGUGGGCUGAUUUAUUGCAGAGCUGCUUGGUCUGCUAGCUCAAGUGGUAUUUAAGUGAUUAAAGAGUAUUGAAGCAACCUCAGGGUGGAUUUUUGGAAGAACUAGGUCAAAUGUUGUAUUUGCUGACCACAACAAUGUCUGGGCCCUUCUGUCGGUGGUGGCAGCCUCGUCCCUCCUGCAGGCGCCUCUCACAGGCGCUGUGCUGGUGCCUUCACCUUUCUUUAACACUGGCCUUGCCGGGGAUUGUUCUGUACCAAGGGCUUGAACAGUGCAAACGUUGAACUACUAGACAAUCUUGAACUGCAGAGAAGCUGACAGUUAUUAGAUAUGGGAAGGCUCGAUUCAACACCCUGCAAAAAGUAACCCUUAGUGAGCUAAGAAUUGAACCCAUUCUGAUUAACUACUGCUUCAAUCCUUACAUUCAGGUUAUGGUACAGACUGAAGGUGAUGACAAAACAAAGCAUAAGAAAUCUUAGCUUUCAAAAAGACAUUAUGAACUGUAAAAACGACAGACUUGGUCAGUGGCCAGUGUGCUGCAGGAGACGAGCAGAAGACAGCCCGGCGGGGUGCUAAUGUGCAGUUGCAUCAUGUAUUGCAAUCUGGCCUCUGACCCAGAAGGAAAGCUGAGCUCUUGUCUGAACGUGUAUUAGCUCUCUUGCACAUCUGUGUUAGCGGCCUGCCCUCUCUGUCCUUUUGCAGCACUUCAUACCUUGCCCAGGUGAGCCUGUGGGGUGCAGGAAGGCAGCGGGAGCAGCCCUGGAGCUGCAAGGAAGCAGCUCUUCCCGUGGCUCUUACACAGCCUUGCCACUGCAGCAGUGACUCUGGUCAUGACGAUGAUCUUUGGGAUCUCGAGUGGUCUCCAGAAUUUUCCUCGUGGUCUGUGGCUGCCAGCUGUUGUGGUGGGGAGGCUCUGGGGAAGCGGCAGUGUGGCCGGUGGAUGGCUGAACCCUCGGCAGCACUGACGCCACAGGAGGAACCCUACAGCAGCGCCGUCAGAAAGUCACAGGAUGGGUAAGUCCCUGGCAGUGCUCCCACAAACCCAGCAGCACCCAGAGACACCUGGGGAGGGGACCAGUAAGUUCACUGGUGCACGGCCACAGCUCAGUCACCGGUUGGGUUUCACGUCAAAGCCUGGCAAGGCGGUGGAGCUGGGCGUCCCUCUGCUGAGGGGCCACGGCCUGGGAGGACAGCUGUCCCCGCAGGCCCGGGUUGUUUGCUCUAACCACGUGUAGUCAGCACGAGUCAUUUAAUGCUUGUAAAGCAUCUUGAGUUAAUCUGUGGACCAACAAACUGCAGCAGCGCACGGAGAUAUCCCCGCUGCAUUUAUCAUGUAAGACACAUGGCACAAAUCACUUUGUUUUGCCAUCUGCAACUUCCAAGCCACUUGAGCACAGGAGCCUUUUCGAUUUGGGAGUGAGAAGGGAACCACAUGAGGCUUGGCUCCCACAGCAGGCGCAUCUACUUUCCUGCUCAGGACACAUCCCACAGCCGUCCGCUUGCUGUACAUCCAGGGUGAAGCACAUUGACUCCUCUAGGAAAGAGGGGGGACGGAGCCUCUGCCUUGCUGGGGAUGUGGAAGGAGGACAGCAGUAUUUCCAGGAGAGAAUACUUGUAUUUGCCAAGGGAUGGUGCAAAACUGAAGGAUGGAAACUUCAGGAUUCCCACCUGAUAAACCAAAUAUACUCAUGACUGCCAAAAUGUCAAAGCGAACAAAGCUGACAACCCUACUGUGCGAUUGUAUUUCACUGAAAAGCACUGAUUGGCACAAUGACAUCCGAGUUUACAGAGACUAA